AUUGAACGCUGGCGGCACGCCUAACACAUGCAAGUCGAGCGGCAGCGAGACUAGUAGCAAUACUAGUUGUCGGCGAGCGGCGGACGGGUGAGUAACACGUAGGAAUCAGCCCUUAAGCGGGGGAUAACCAAGGGAAACUUUGGCUAAUACCGCAUAAUCUCGAGAGAGCAAAGCUGCCCGCAAGGGUGGCACUUGAGGAGGAGCCUGCGUCCGAUUAGCUAGUUGGUGGGGUAAUGGCCUACCAAGGCGAUGAUCGGUAACUGGUCUGAGAGGACGAACAGUCACACUGGGACUGAGGCACGGCCCAGACUCCUACGGGAGGAAGCAGUGGGGAAUAUUGGACAAUGGGGGCAACCCUGAUCCAGCGAUGCCGCGUGAGUGAAGAAGGCCUUCGGGUCGUAAAGCUCUUUAGGUUGGGAAGAAGGGUAUUGGCUGAAUAAUCCAGUACUUUGACGGUACCGACAGAAUAAGCACCGGCAAACUCUGUGCCAGCCGCCGCCGUAACAC
rnacentral:rRNA from 1 species